GCAAGAUAGCUCAAUUGGCUAGAACAUUGUGCUGACAACGCCAAGGUUGCAGGUUCAGUUCCCGUAUGGGGCAGCUGCA